GCGAAAGUGGCGGAAUUGGUAGACGCGCCAGGUUUAGGACCUGGUUGGGCAACCAGUGGGAGUUCGAGUCUCCCCUUUCGCACCA
rnacentral:tRNA from 1 species